AACGAACGCUGGCGGCAUGCCUAACACAUGCAAGUCGAGCGAUACCUUCGGGUCUAUGUGCGCACUGGUGCGUAACGCGAGGGAAUCUUCCCUUGGGGUCGGAAUAACAUUGAGAAAUUACUGCUAAUACCGGAUGAUUUCUUCUGACCAAAGAUUUAUCGCACAGCGAUGAGCCCGCGUAGGAUUAGCUAGUUGGUGAGUUAAUGGCCUACCAAGGCGACGAUCCUUAGCUGGUCUGAGAGGAUGCUCAGCCACACUGGGAAUGAGACACGGCGCAGACUUCUGCGGGAGGCAGAAGUGGGGAAGAGUGGACCCUGGGCGGAAGACUGAGCCAGCAAAGCCUAGUACGUGAUGAAGACAUUAGAGUUGUAAGCUCUUUUAAAAGGGCUGAUAAUGACAGUAACGGGCGAAUAAGCGCCGGCUAACUACGUG
rnacentral:rRNA from 1 species